rfam:Fusarium oxysporum f. sp. lycopersici 4287 chromosome 4, whole genome shotgun sequence.
GGGGAGCUGGCGCAACGGUAGCGCGUCAGAUUCCAGCUAUUAAGCACGGAGAUUCCUGAAGGUUAUCGGUUCAAAUCCGGUGUUCCUCA